rnacentral:rRNA from 1 species
CAGUAGCCGCGGUAAUACAGAGGGUGCGAGCGUUAAUCGGAUUUACUGGGCGUAAAGCGUGCGUAGGCGGCUUCUUAAGUCGGAUGUGAAAUCCCUGAGCUUAACUUAGGAAUUGCAUUCGAUACUGGGAAGCUAGAGUAUGGGAGAGGAUGGUAGAAUUCCAGGUGUAGCGGUGAAAUGCGUAGAGAUCUGGAGGAAUACCGAUGGCGAAGGCAGCCAUCUGGCCUAAUACUGACGCUGAGGUACGAAAGCGUGGGGAGCAAACAGGAUUAGAUACCCGAGUAGUCCCUGUCUCUUAUAC